rnacentral:lncRNA from 1 species
UCUGCCAGGUCAGGACGUGGACACAUUUUUCUCCCCACAGCUCUGUGUUUAAGCCUUGCAGAGGGAGAUGGAAGAGAAGGCUGCCUACAAGCAGCACAGGACCCAGAGUGCCUACAUCUACAGACAGACACAUUGGCAUGUGGUGACAGCAGGUUAUCCUCGUGGCUUCCCUUCACACCCCAGCUGUCCUCAGGACUCAGUAGAAGGGAGAUUUUGGGCACUGACACUGCUAUUUUGAAACCUGGAGCAGGGGAAGGUGCCAGGGACUGUCACCUGGUGCAUGGGGUGCAGCUUGUAUUGGUGUUGGUGUUUUUGUCCAUCAUAUUAACGUGUUUUGAAACUUUUCUUCCUUCUGCUCUGGAGGUCAAUGUGGCUUCAGGAAGACCCCUUUCUCAGGAUUGCCCUACUUGCUCUAUGGCCUGGCUGGCCCUUCAGGACCAUUCAUGGGCUGCCAGACACCUCCUCUUCCUGGGUGGCCUCUGGGACCUCAACCACUGCCUCCAUGCACACCACUUGGUAUGUUGAUCUGAACAGUAUGGACUGACUUUUAAGGUGGAUUCAUCUUUUUUUACUCAUUGAGUGAAUAGAAAGAAAUAUCACAGAUGGUACUGAGGAAGGAGACCCUGGCAUCUGGGAUUCCCUCCCCCUCUGUCAUCCACUGUGCAUCUCAAUAGAAGAGAGAGCAGGCCAGCUGGUGCCUCCUGAAUCUCCUUCCUGAAAACAACACGCUUGGUCUUGGGGAAACUCUCUGGAAGGCACUAUUUUCACUUAAAACGAGAUCAAACCAGAAACCUUUUCACAUGUGAGUCCUAAAACUGUAAACCGGAACCCUUUCAUAUGUGAUUUCUAAAGCUAUAAACCUAAGAUUCUUCCACGUGUAACAUCUAAAGUAUAAACCUGUAUAAAGGUAGAACCUUCCUUUGUUAGAGGAGCUGGGCUUUGGACUAAUUAUGCCCAGGCUCCCGGCCAAACAAUAAACCUUUUCCUCCUUUA